AUUAGCACGUAUCUAAACCUUGAUGCGUCUAGUUCUAGGCCGUCACAGCCUGUGAGAAGUCUUAUUCUGAAGUUAGAGGGGCCGUGGAGUGAUCUAUCUUUCAGUGAGCAUGACCAUAACUGGGAGGGCUUCCCAAGAUGAGCAGGCAGAGAUGAUAUCUGGAGGUGAGAGCAGGAGUCCACCAGAUUGACAUAUUAUUGCCCAAUGAGCAAGAACUUAUUCGCUGCUGCUUUUAAACGAGUCUUUAUUUUUCCAUACGAAACCAUGGCAGAAAUUGGCGGGAAAGAAUGGGUUGAGGCUAUAUAGGGCGGACCUAUAGUCUUGAGUAGGCCAGAGACAGUGUCCAGGAGCAGCCAUUCCAUUAGUAUUCUCUUAGGAAGAUCAUUUGUUGACAUGCGUGCAAUAAAGUUUAUAAAGCAAAGCUGCCUGCAGUCUACUAGAGAGGAGAUCCCCAAAGAGCCAAUAAGGCUUGUGAGUGCUAGCGAGGGGCAUCUCAAUCCAACAUUGUUAGGUCCAUUUUUGUGAGGGACCAAAGCUCUGACCCGUAGAGCGUAACUGGGAGGCAGAGAGAUGGUUGUAAGAUGUAAGGCGGCCAAACCUUGCACCAACCGAAUUCAAGGCAAAGAAGGCACAAUUUGAGAUUCUUAUUGAGCCAGAGGUUGAAACUAGGCACAAGAUUUCCAAGUAGGAGUAGCUGUCCGCCUCAUGUAUUGUCUCAAAGCAUACCAAAAAAGAGCGAGAUAGGCAACCAGAGGAGCGAGAUUAAUACAAUAUACCACGUGAAAGAGCAGCUCAAUGCGCAUGUGCUCAAUGCGCAUGUGCUGGUACCUACAGCGUGCACAUAGCUCUAACACAUGUGCACAACAAUUUUUUCACUACCGCUCAGAGGAGGUACGACAAAGUCAAAAGGUCAUGGCUAGCUUGCAUGAUUUGUACUUUGAACCGUGCACCAAAUAAAAUACUACAGGUCUAAUGAAAGCACCGCGGGUGCUGAUGCCUCGGUGGAGGUGCCAAAGCUACAUAACAUAAAACUACUAAUAGCUAGCUUUUAUACACACAUUGAUUAUAAUUAUCAUGAUGAAUUUUGCCAUGCAAUCAACCGAAUAGUGGGUAAUGAUCAACCAUGAUUGUUGUUAAAAACGAUCGAUGCCAAAAGUUCAAGUCUAAAAUUAAUGGCUGCAAGUCAGCAGAGAGCCUUGCAGCUCUCUGCUCACUCUUGCAGCUACCAAUAGCUAGCGUUCUAGUGCAGAGCUAACUACUAAGUAGAGUAGUAACACUCGGUGAACAAGUUUUGCUACGGACUCUUCUGAAAAGGCUGCAAUAGCAUUCCAAAACUAGGCAUAACUCAAGAACAAAGCAUUAUUUUGCAAAUCCACAAAUUAAAACCCAAUUAAACAUGACUAGAAGCCUAUAGAAACUCUUAAUUCAUCCUUGAGCAGCUGUAGCGGUCUACACACACACACACACAGACACACAGACACACAGACACACAAACACACUACCGUAUACCUCGCUUGUGCAUGCGCAUCGAGGCAUAAUAAUGAACAUAUUUAUUUGCAUCAAGAUGGAUCCACAUCAGUAGAGCUGUUGAACUGCUUGUUGAAUGAGGACAUGACACCAGAAGUGCAUCCUCCAACAGCUAAUAAAGUUGUAUCAUCGAGGUCCAAAAAUUUGUGAGACAGAUUCCCCUAUAAAUGUAUGAAUGAAUCAGGUGGCUGAUGCCUCGUUGUUAUAUAAAUAGAAAUUCUUGUAACAAGGAGGAAGGCAAUACAACAGACUUGAUGCACGCACCACUGUAGUGACAAUGAAGAUUAUGUAUGGCAGUUCUGAAGAUACAGAUUUACAAGGGCUAUACAGAGACUGGACCAUUGAUCCGCCUUGUGAAACAUUAACAGAGCAUAAUACUGUAUUGUGUGCACUAAACUUUAUAUAGGCCUAUAUACAAUCAUGUGAUCAAGAAAGACAAUGUUAAUUAAUCUGCUCCAUUUUAUGAAUGUUCAAUUGUGCUUGGGCUUUAAUGGAGUCUUACCAGUAGGCUCCUUUUUGGAGGUAGAGGCCUUUAACUCUAUCAUCCACAAUUCUAUGAGCGGCCCUUAUUUAAGUUAGUGAGGCUUGUAGUUUAGGCGGUUCUCUGAGGUCAAAAGGGUCAAAAGUUCACUUGCUAUUUUUUCUUCGAAAUACAGCUGUACCUUGAGGGUACAGUUAGUUUUCAAGUUCUAUUUUCCAGUAUCUAUGCAAAGAGUAAUCUUAUAUUAAGCAGGGUACAGUGGCAAACAGGAAAUCCUACACAAAACAUAAGCUCACGUGAUAAAUUCAUUAGUGACCUUUUGACCUUGCCAUACCUCCUCUGACUACCGCUGCCGUCAUAUGACAGCUAAAGCCGGGAAAGGGUUAAAUGGUGUCAUAAGCCAAGCAAAUGGACUGAGCGAGGAUUGCACCAUGUGUACCCCUAGUUAUAAAUUAUAACUAUAUAAAUUAUAUAAAUUAUAACUAUAUAAAUUAAAUAAAUAUAAAUUAUAACACUAAUGAUUACUUUUCAAAAUGUUGUGUACCUCAUUUGCUGCACGUCACACACUGUAUUUACCUAUAGCAUAACGUGAGGCGUUGCCUAUCACCUUUCUACGAGAGUUCAAGUAGCACUUCAGUUCUCUACAUAAUUAUACACAUACUACUUCGUAGUAUUAUCUGGCCACAAGGUUAUAUAUACAGUGAUGAUUACUUUCCAUGCAUUGACAAGAAUGUUAUGUACCUCAUUUGCUGCACGUCUGAUUCAGUAAAUGCUCCACCCUUGGUAUUGUAUAUCAAACACGAGCUCAGUAGAGUGACAAGAAUGAGGAUACCUGUCACUUCCUCUUUGGAGGAGCUCUCGCUUGCCUGAGCAGCACCUAUACCCUCUGUAUCGAGUAGUAUUAGGGUGUGGUCAUCAAAUUCUAAUACAUUAGUGGACAUCCAGAUUCCUUUGGUGCAUGGAUCCCUGGAGUGGCUAACUGUGAAAUCAUCUCCACCUAACACUUGUGACAAGAAGUAUGACUUUCCAGUUCUAUAAGGGCCACAUAUGCCCAGAACAGCAACCGGUUUUGUAAUAUGAUUUAAAAAUUUCACAGCUUCCUUGUCCACAACAAUUGAUUUGCUUUCUUGAUCGUGUCUGACAAGUGGUAUAGAUGGAGGAAGUUUUACUUCUCCCAAUUUUCGUUUUUUAGGAUCUACAUGUGACACAAGAAAAAUAACAAUCAUGAUACACACGCAGGUUUGAGCUCGAUCACAUCUGAUUAAUGUGUAGCUAUAUAUAAUCAUAAUGCUUACAAUUCUUAGACUAUAGUCUUAUAUAUAUUAUUGUGAUUAUAUAAACCUUUUUGCGUUUUCUCUCGAGUUAUAAGAUCAUUUCCCUCUUGGUGUGUGCGGUUAAUGUCUGCUUGUGCACCUCCUGUACAAUUCAAUCAGUGUUUCAAAGAAAUAAAGGCAUAUUUCACAUUGUUUUUACAUAAUUUAGCUAUUGCUCUGCACUAUUAGUACAACCAGUAGGUUGUACAUAUAGGAUUGACAGUGCAGUUGUGUGUGUUUUCAAUUAUUGCACAAAUUUUGACUCGUGUUUAGACUGCUCUAUUUCUGCAGGGAAAGGCCACAGCAAGAAACUGAGUUGACAGAUAGCUUAGUUAGCCUUUUAUCUGUCUAAAUGUGUGAAAUUAUAGUCAAUGAAUAUUCUCAUGCAUUACUAUUGAUAUUUGAAAAAUUGCACUAUUUUCAUAUUUCACCGCGUUUCGUCUGACUGACUAAGUAAGUUAGUAAGUAAGUAACUUUCUUGGAAAGCAUUUCCUCCUUGUACAGACAUGUUCAGAAGAUUCUAGAUACAGCCUCUAGUCGACUAGAACCCGGACCAUGGGCGUUUUUCGCAGAAUUGCGUCCGCUUCCAAGAGGCAGAUGACCUCUCAGGCUCCACUUUUCUUACCUACGCAAUUCCGCCAUCUUUAAAUGACUGCCACAGCAACGCACAUGGCAACUUAUGAGAUGGGCGUGGCUGGUUAACCGGCUGUGACAUCGAUCGGUACACAAACAGUCCCUAGUCUUUUCAGUGGCGGAUCCAGAGGGGGUUCUUUGGGUUCAAUUGAACCCCCCUUUGAGAAAGAAGUGAGUGGGAGGCUCAAGCAACUAGUUAGCAAGUUGUUCCUUUCUUACUAGCUUUCACAUGCACUUCUCACUUACCUUUAGUCCUUGUUAGUCCUGUGAAGCUUUGUCUGUGCAGUUUCAGUGACUAUGAAGGCUAAAAACUCUCCAGCGAGUGCAUGCAGACUGCUUCAUGAAAAGUGAUGACCUUUUUUUAGAGGAAAAAAUUCGGUGUGUUAAUGCAUGCUCACUGUUUAGAAGAAGUGACGACCUUUUUUUUAACAGUCCUUGGCCCGCUCAGAGCCCUGGAACCCCCCUUUUUCAAGAAUCCUAGAUCCGCCACUGCCUUUUCUCCAACUUCUCUCCAUUCUCAACUCAGGUAUGCUACUGGCUAGAUCUACCAUAGGCCUCCAUGCUUUUGCACUUGAAGUAUACACUCUAGUAUUUAACAUGCAUAGAUAAAUGAACACUGUAAUAAGAAUUAUGUGUUCAUAUAUUCCAGUCUGCAUGGCCUGUCUUCUCUUCUCUUCUUGAACUUCUCUUGCUUCUUGACAUUCCUCUUAGGCAUUUCACAUUUCAUUAUUGAAGAGUAUAAAAAUACUGCUGUACUGAAAAAGAAAGGGAAUCAAACUAAAAAAACAUUUGCAAUGUGAACGUUGCUAGGAUUGCCAGGAAAAGAAAAGCGCGAAAAAGCGAAGAAACAAGAAAUUCGGUGAGUGCAUAACUCCAAUCCGUUACAACGCCAUGAACAUGUACAGCCGAGUGGCCUACUGAUUUUAGAAUUAGAAUUAAAAUACAAGUUGGGUAAAAAUGAACCGCGAAUAACUGAAUUCACAAUCAUCCACCCACACAUCCAACACUUGCAUGUUUGCUCAAUACUGUAAGGGAAAUCAUCACAAACACAUUAUAUAGCUUGCAAAAAAUUCACUAUAAUUAUAUGAUAAAAAUUACUGAAGAAUUGGCCAGGAAAAGCACAAAACGAACAAAAAAUUGAAACAGUACAUGUGAAUGAAGUUGUAACGGAUUGGAGUUAUGCACUCGCCGAAUUUCUUGUUUCUUCGCUUUUUCGCACUUUUCUUUUCCUGGCAAUCCUAGCAACGUUCACAUUGCAAAUGUUUUUUUAGUUUGAUAAGUAUAGGAUAUACCACACCUAAGAGCCGCCUCGAAGUAACCACGGUAGCGGAGGAUAUAUGGGUGCAUAACCUCCGAGUAGGUGUGGCAUAUCUGAUUUAUACCACGUGACCGCAGCACUAUAAAAGGACCUCCCCCUAGCAACAAUUCAAUCCACGAUGCAGACUGCAAAAAAAACAAGACUAUGCCGGAUUUUGCAGCCGUCAAAGAGCUAGUUGAGCAACAUGUUGACUCCUACAGAUGCAUGCUCAAGAGCUUCCUUGGUCCAAGCAUUGACCAUUCGACGUCCCCUACUGGAGUUGCAAGCUCUUCUUGGAUAAAAUGUAUCUAAACCGCGCCCAUGGACCCAUGGAAGCUUAGCCAUCUUGUUGGAGAGCACCUUCCGUGUUUCUGCCGUCGCUUUGAGUCUUAGUACUGUCAAGCAUCGCUCUUUUCUCUUUGCUUGAACAAAUGAAAAAACUAAAAAACAACUUGAAAAACUGCGCAUGCCUGGGGCUGUAUGCUAAUAUUCUAUAUAUCCUACAGCUGUUAACCAUUGAGAUCAAUUAGUGGUGACGUAAGUGUGGUAUAUUAUCCGGAGACCUCAUGAAAUUACGUAAUUAUAAAUCACUAAAGUGUUGGAGAAAUCAAGUGCUCCAAAUAAAAGUUCAAGUCAAGAACAAGUUACUGCUACACCGCAGGUUACUUAUAGGGCUCAAGAAAUGGACUUCACUCUGCAUGAAGUGACAGAUUUUAUCCGAUAUUAUUAUACUUCUUACAUCCGGGGCCUAGCUUGCUUAGAACUUCCUUAACCAUGUUUGCAAUAUGUUUUAGGAUCUCACGAGCAAUAUAUUCAAACAUGCAUGUGCAUCUUGAUCUAUAUAUAACUACUGCCAACCUUGAUUUACAGCCACAACUUCAUAGCCAUCCAAUAAAGACUCUGUGGUGGGCUUGGAUGCCAUAGUUCUGAUUCACGUCAGUUAAUGAAGUUUUGAUGCACAGCAGCUAUAAUUUAAUGCAACUGGACAGUAUAUACUCGAUCACUCUCUUUACAUAGAUUCCAAGGUGAUGUGUUUGUACUAUACUCCAAAUGCUAACUAAAAUGCAUACAGGGCACGUGCAUACCCUAAACAAUGCAAGCUGGGACAUGCAUGCUGCGACUACAAUUGCCAGUGAAAAACCUUUGUGAAUGAGCCAAAUAAGCAGUACCUACAUACAGCUGUUGUGUACUCCAAAUGCCAAUUUUAGCUUCACAUUUGUAGUUUUUAGACAAUCCUUAUUGUUCUGAACUAUAAUAUGCAUGCAUGCAGUUGGGCACAUGCUGCGAUCGAGAGACAGCCUGCAUCAUGUACCUAUAUAUAUAUACAGCUGUUUUGUAUACUCAAAAUACAAAUUUUUGCUUCACUUGUACCAUGCAUGAUGUGCUCUAGAUCUGAUACUAAUAUACCAUACCAUACACCAUUAUAUACGGUAUAUGCAUGACUGUGGUCAGCCUGAAGUCCACCCUAUACACUCUUUAAGGACCUAAAGUAACUAAAAUUGUCGAAAGCAAUAUGUCACAUUACGUAACCGGAAGACAUCCAAGAGUGUUGAAGUUGUAAAUGGUUUGUCAAGUGCCAAGCAUGCACACGCACACAAUGUACACCGAUCAAACAGUGUUGACUAUAUACUACUCAGUUGUACAGUAUAGAUUGCAGUGCAAUUGCAACAGAGAAUUACCAAACAGAUAAUUCUGAUUAUUUUCUUAGCUAAACUUUCACCAACUACUCUAACUUGGCACUUUAUAAGGUAAAAAGCAUAGGGCCAUGAGAAUCAUUUUCUCAGCAGAUACUCACUGAAGCUCUCUGCAUGCCCCCUUCAAAAUUAUUUACAUGACAUGCAUACAGUCAGUCAAGCAUUGACAAGCACACUGUAAAAAGAGAUGUGCCAUUAUAGCACGCGUGUAGCGUGUUACACAUGUGCCAAACUGCUUAAAGUGUGUUAUUUACCCUCUAGAAAAGUUUAUCACAGCUAAAAAUAUGUCGUUUUAACCCACUGAAUGAAAACAACCCAUUACACAUGUGUCGUUUCUUAUGCACAUUACAUAUAAACAUGAUUGUUACAAGUGAUAACACAAUCACUUGUAAAAAUCAUACUUCAUAUGUCCCUGGCAACAAAUGUGACAUAGCAACGAGUGAGACUGUUUAAAUGGUAGCUAGCGCUUGCUAGUUAGUUCAACCAAGUAUAGUACAGUACAGUCGAGACAACUGUUCACUUCAAAGAAUUGAACUGCUGGAACCACCCUCAACUCUGAAACUACCCAGUUUUUCAGUGAAUUGAUAGACUCUACUUGUUUUUUUGGCUUAUGAGUCAGUAAUUCUCCUUUCUCAACAAUGGCAGACUCCUUCGAUUGUGAUAGUGUAUGAAACAGAGGGGCUCAAAGGUAGGCCUUCCUAACCACCCUCCAAGUGAGCUAGCUGUCUGAAUCUUAAUACUAGUCCCUGUCAGGGCACACAUUUGAGGUAGGCCAUCCUAACCACCCUCCAAGUGAGCUAGCUGUCUGAAUCUUAAUACUGGUCCCUGUCAGGGCACAAAUUUGAGUACCAAAUAAGGGCAUGCAGUACAACAGAUGUGCAGCUGCAGCUGCAUAGCAACAAAGAUUUUUUUUUUGCUGUUCUUGCAAAGAAGAAAAGAAGUUGAGUUUAGACAUGGUUUGAGAGCUGUUUGAAAAAACUGUGGAACUAGGAAGGACAAGCAAGUAAAAGGUUGAAUGGGGGCUCAACAAAGUGGAGACCAAUUGAAGCCUAGCUAUAUUGCCCAAGUUUAAUAGCACAAUAAGUGAUGCUGAGAAGUCAAAGGCAGUAUCUUGCAAUUGCAGUGAUCUGAGUGCAGACUUGCUAUGUAGGCCUUCCUAACCACUCCAAGUGAACUAGCUGUCUGAAUCUUAAUACCGGUCCGAAAUAGCUAUGAAGACAAGUUCAAAGGACUGUAGUAAAGACUCAUAAUUAACUGGAUACAUGCAUGCAAGUUUUGCAAACACUUCUGAAUACUUUUGUUUCAUUUUCAGUUACUAUAAUUAUGCUAUAGCGCUAUAUAGACUCGUCAUUAUUUUUGUUAUUGUUUAUUGUUUUAUGA